rnacentral:rRNA from 1 species
UACGUAGGGUGCGAGCGUUAAUCGGAAUUACUGGGCGUAAAGCGUGCGCAGGCGGCUUUGCAAGACAGAUGUGAAAUCCCCGGGCUUAACCUGGGAACUGCAUUUGUGACUGCAUGGCUGGAGUGCGGCAGAGGGGGAUGGAAUUCCGCGUGUAGCAGUGAAAUGCGUAGAUAUGCGGAGGAACACCGAUGGCGAAGGCAAUCCCCUGGGCCUGCACUGACGCUCAUGCACGAAAGCGUGGGAGCAAACAGG